UGGCCCAAUCGUUCGGAUUCGCGUGUGUGCGCGGCGAUAAAUUUCCGAACACGCCGGCCGUCUAUAUAUUACGUGUUUUUGGCGAGUUAACAUUGUGCGUGUACCUACCGUUGAACGAACGGUAAAAAUCCGGAACCUGUGUUAGAAUUGAAAAACUGAUAAGAAAAUGUGUUAUCGGUAAAUAAUUUUACGUUUAUUAGUUUUACAAAGAUGUUUGUUUUUUUUAUUAGUCUUUUUUUUUUUUUUUAAAGAACACUUU